GGCUCCAUAGUAUAGUAGUUAGCACGUCUGCUUUACACACAGAAGGUCCCGGGUUCACUCCCCAAAUGUAGCCA
rnacentral:tRNA from 1 species